UAGGGAAUCUUCCGCAAUGGACGCAAGUCUGACGGAGCAACGCCGCGUGAGUGAAGAAGGUUUUCGGAUCGUAAAACUCUGUUGUUAGAGAAGAACAAGUGCUAGAGUAACUGUUAGCGCCUUGACGGUAUCUAACCAGAAAGCCACGGCUAACUACGUGCCAGCAGCCGCGGUAAUACGUAGGUGGCAAGCGUUGUCCGGAUUUAUUGGGCGUAAAGCGAGCGCAGGCGGUUCCUUAAGUCUGAUGUGAAAGCCCCCGGCUCAACCGGGGAGGGUCAUUGGAAACUGGGGAACUUGAGUGCAGAAGAGGAGAGUGGAAUUCCAUGUGUAGCGGUGAAAUGCGUAGAUAUAUGGAGGAACACCAGUGGCGAAGGCGACUCUCUGGUCUGUAACUGACGCUGAGGCUCGAAAGCGUGGGUAGCAAACAGGAUUAGAUACCCUGGUAGUCCACGCCGUAAACGAUGAGUGCUAGGUGUUGGAUCCUUUCCGGGAUUCAGUGCCGCAGCUAACGCAUUAAGCACUCCGCCUGGGGAGUACGACCGCAAGGUUG
rnacentral:rRNA from 1 species